CGAAAGGGAAACAGCCCAGACCACCAGUUAAGGUCCCCAAAUAUAUGUUAAGUGGAAAAGGAUGUGGGGUUGCUUAGACAACCAGGAUGUUGGCUUAGAAGCAGCCACCAUUGAAAGAGUGCGUAAUAGCUCACUGGUCGAGUGACCCCGCGCCGAAAAUGUACCGGGGCUAAACAUAUUACCGAAACUGUGGAUGAACCUCUUUAGAGGUUCGUGGUAGGAGAGCGUUCUAAGGGCGGUGAAGUCAGACCGGAAGGACUGGUGGAGCGCUUAGAAGUGAGAAUGCCGGUAUGAGUAGCGAAAGAAGGGUGAGAAUCCCUUCCACCGAAUAUCUAAGGUUUCCUGAGGAAGGCUCGUCCGCUCAGGGUUAGUCGGGACCUAAGCCGAGGCCGAUAGGCGUAGGCGAUGGACAACAGGUAGAGAUUCCUGUACCAGUGCUAAUUGUUUAACCGAUGGGGUGACACAGAAGGAUAGGGAAUCGCACGAAUGGAAAUGUGCGUCCAAGCAGUGAGUGUGAGAA
rnacentral:rRNA from 1 species